UGGAUCGAGAAAGCAAAGCUUAAAAGGCGAAAGUGCUCUACCUACCCUCUCUUGUUUCAGGUAUUCCACUCGUUCUCAAAGUAUAUAGCUCUAGUAGUCCUUUCUGCCUAUUACACUCCUUCGCUCUAGUGAUCGCUUCGUAUACUACGCUUCUUAUCCAGCGUAUUGAACUCGUUUAUUCCACUCGCUCCCUAACUCUAAGAGCAACUCCUCUUUUUAGAAUUGUUGAAGAAACUACUAACUCUAACUAUCUAACUGCACUGAUCGGGGUCGAUCUCACUGACCCCUUGCUUCACCACGCCCAAGCCGGAGGCUAAGGAGAGCAGAAUAAGGUGAAGGUGGAUACCGCUCAUCAAGAGCUUGGUUAAGUGUCCAAGACCGUAUGCCUUGCUGGUUGGAUCUGAAUCUGCUCUAUAGUUAUCUAAUCUCUUUCUUUUUCCUACCUCCCCUACGAAGGGAAGUACAAAGGAAGCUGCUUCGAAGUUGAAG
rnacentral:lncRNA from 1 species